UACGUAGGGGGCAAGCGUUGUCCGGAUUUAUUGGGCGUAAAGAGCGUGUAGGCGGCUUUGCAAGUCCGUUGUGAAAACUCGAGGCUCAACCUCGAGACGCCGGUGGAAACUGCAAAGCUAGAGUCCGGAAGAGGAGAGUGGAAUUCCUGGUGUAGCGGUGAAAUGCGCAGAUAUCAGGAAGAACACCCGUGGCGAAGGCGGCUCGCUGGGACGGUACUGACGCUGAGGCGCGAAAGCGUGGGGAGCGAACAGG
rnacentral:rRNA from 1 species